rnacentral:rRNA from 1 species
GAGUUUGAUCGUGGCUCAGAACGAACGCUGGCGGCAGGCUUAACACAUGCAAGUCGAACGGGUGUAGCAAUACAUCAGUGGCAGACGGGUGAGUAACACGUGGGAACCUUCCUAGGGGUACGGAACAACUCAGGGAAACUUGAGCUAAUACCGUAUACGUCCGUGAGGAGAAAGAUUUUAUCGCCCUUAGACGGGCCCGCGUCGGAUUAGGUAGUUGGUGGGGUAACGGCCUACCAAGCCUACGAUCCGUAGCUGAUCUGAGAGGAUGAUCAGCCACACUGGGACUGAGACACGGCCCAGACUCCUACGGGAGGCAGCAGUGGGGAAUAUUGGACAAUUGGGCGCAAGCCUGAUCCAGCCAUGCCGCGUGAGUGAUGAAGGCCUUAGGGUUGUAAAGCUCUUUUACCAGGGAAGAUAAUGACGGUACCUGGAGAAUAAGCCCCGG